rnacentral:lncRNA from 1 species
CCUUAGUGUGCUUCACAAUCACCUGGAGGCUUGUUAAAGUACGGAUUUGUUGGGCCCCACCCUCAGAAUUAGACAUUUGUAUCUCUAACAAGCCCCUGGUGAUCCUAAGGCCCAUGCUCAGGGACCACACUUUAAGAAUCACUGCCCUAAAUGGUAACCAGGAGAGAAGCAGAAUUUCUACAGUCUCUGGACAUUUCUUCAGCAAUUUGAAUAAAUGAGUAACUUGAAUCAAGUAAUGAUUCAUAUUACGAACACCUCAGAUUCCACCUCUGCCUCAAGUGGCAGGUUUGUUAAAUGAAACACUAGCAAUGUAGAUAGGACUUUGUCAGAAGUGAGUUACUACGUAGGCAUUAACGAGUAGCAUAAAACCAAAGAAGCAUUCAGUUCAGAAAGAAGAAAAAUAGUCCAUGGGAGGGAAUGUGUUACCACAGUACAGAUGCAUAUCUACCCAAUUUUCCUGAAUUCCACGAGAUUCAAUUCAGG